rnacentral:lncRNA from 1 species
ACGAUCUGGUGCGUUUAUUUUAUCAAUCCUAUGACUGAUAUUGUAUCUGGAGGAUGAUUUUUUUUCGCAGGGUUCGAAUCCUGGAGGGAGCAGAAUAUUUUAAAUUUUGUUAUUCAUCAGUAUAUACUGCAUUGUUCAUCAGUAUAUACAGCCCUGUUCAUCAGUAUAUAUGUCUUAUUCAUUACGAAUUUUUUAAAUUUUAUUUUUCAUCAGUAUAUACAUCUUGUUCAUUAGAUAUACGUUUUGUUCAUU